GAAGAAAGUGACAGGAAGUGAAGGGAGCGGGAGGAACGGGACAGAACGGGACGGCUGCUGCUUGACCAGCAGAAACGGAGCGAAAACAAUGACGUUUAAAACCCGAUAUCGCUUCGCGUUAACGACACAGGGUGGUUGUCGUUUUGCCUUUGGAGUGUGUAGCCGUUCGAGACGCUAGCGAGUCGCGCUACACCGCCAGAGGAAGAAGUCGUGUUCGCGGUCCCUUCUAUCUUUGCCGCCGCGGAGAUUGGCGGUUCCUGCCGCCCAGAGACGCGUCACGGCUCCCGAUGACGCGUGCGGACUAAAGGGAAGUAACCCAACUUUGUGCUAUUUAGCAGCAAGCUACAGAGAAGUAUAACUUUGCCCGCACUGAAUUGCUUUUUUGUCGUGCUACCAGCCAGAACCAAGACACUUUUUUUGGCUAGCCUAUUUUAUUUGAUACUUUGUGGACUCACAAAACGGGAUUUGAGCAUUUUUGCUCUGGAUUGAGCCGUAAGGCUGUUGGACAUUUCCACUUAAAACGCGGUAUUCCUCUUAGUGUUUAGAAUGAACCAUUUUUCUGUUUAAAACAACUACUGAGUGUGGGGACACUGGUCUGUGACAUUUAUUGUGUACUGUCUUUGGUCACUGCUGUUAAUUUUCUGUCAAGUUAUCCUGUGAUGAAUCUACAUGAUUCAUUAUACGACUGAAACUGUGAAGAGUGAUUUAGGGUAACCAACUCAAAUGAUGUACUGUGCAGUCCUUCAUCUUCCCUGGAGUAGGGGCGUCUCAUCCUCUGUCAGUAUAUGGCAGUAGAGGGAAAUACCGGCAUGAAGUUCAGAAGAUGGAGGAGGUGUGAUGUCACAGCGCCCUCUAGAGGAUAUUUAACUCAGCGUAACAUCAUCCCGACUUCAUCAGUAUCUCUGUUCAUAUGGCUCAAAAAGCUUCUGUAAAUUAAUAACAGUAAUUCAUAAACCAGGAGUAUUGAGACAAAACUAACCGUAAUCCUGAUAUUUUUAUAGCAAUAUUAUGGUUGUGAAGAAGUUAGGUAUAUAAAAACAUAGCUUAAAAUAAUUACAACAAACAGAACCAACAUUAAAGUUAUUCUCAACAUCUUAAAUACAAAUAAAUAUCCAGAAUCACAGAGUCACUGUAUGAUUGAGUCACUGCUUUUCUGAGUCAUGGUUUCACUGGUUUAUAGUUUAACUGAGUCUCUGAAUCACUGCUUUACUGAGUCGCUCAGUCACUUUUUCACUGGUUCACAGCUUCACAUAUUGUUUCACGGAGUUACUGCUUCCCUGAGUCAGUCACUAUAUGUCUGCUGGAUGAGUACAUGCUGCCCUUUGAGGACGAGGUGGGUCAGCAUCCGUCUCUAGAGGACAUGCAGGAGGUGGUGGUCCACAGCAAGCUGAGACCGACCCUCAGAGAGUGCCGGCAGAAACAUACUACCCGCUCUGCGCGCGUUGUGUGUCUCUCCUCGGGAUAACCCUCCUGUGUGAGACCAUUGAGGAGUGCUGGGAUCACCAGGCUGAAGCUCACCUAUCGGCCGGCUGUGUGGGGCAGUUGUUCAGAUGCAGCGUCAGAUGAGCCGCACAGACCCCGAAGAGGUCGCCACCAUUGUAACCAAUGUGGACUACCCCCCAAAGCAGUCCAGUUCAUGACGCAGACCAAUCUGGACGGAGCUGGGACUUCCUGAGCAAACGGUUUCUUUCUCUGAUGGCAGACUCUGGUCACGUGACCCUCAGACUGAUGAGGAUGCAGAGGGCCUCCUUCUCGGCAUGGUGAGCCACAAUGAUCAGGAAUCAGGAAACAUUUAUUGCCAAAAUAUCAAUGAUAUUGGUUCCUGAAUGUAUGUAAAAAAUACUUUGUGUAAAGACAUUGAAGAGUGACUCAUUCUGCUCUUUGUUUCUGCCAAUAGGAAACAGCUUCUGAAUGUCUCUAUCACUGCUGUGUGUGUGUACAUUCCAGAGCACGGUUUCAUAAUCAGGUUAUUAUUCCUUUCUAUUAUUUUAAAAGGUGGCUUGUUGAGAGGAAACUGGAGAUAAUUGAGAGAUUUAAAUUCUUCAUUAACAAAGAUUAUACAAGUCACAAGUUCAAAACAAACAAUUGUAUUUAAUGCUUUUUAUUGUGAACACAAGUUGAUGGUGUUGAAAAAAAGGUUUUUAUUGGUAUUGAUGAUUGUUCUUUUAAUGAGGGCUCCUACGCUGCAGCCACAGCCAAGGACAAGGGCAGGCUGCAGCGUGUCCUCCGCUCUGCAGAGAGGCUGAUCGGCUGCAAUCUGCCGUCCCUGCAGGACUGGUUCC